rnacentral:miRNA from 1 species
AACCCAUUUCUGCUUUCUAGAAUGUCAGUGUCAGUUUUCUGCCGACAUUCUGGAAAGCAGAAAUGG